UGUAACACAGGUAAUACCUGUUGUUGUCGAAGAGUAAAAUAGAAAAUUAACCAACCAACUUACCUCGUGCUGGAUAUAUCUCUUUUUGUGGUGUGUGUGAAGUUUAGAAGUCUCAUAUACAAAUGGUAGUGUUUUAUCAACAUGUGUGUCGUCCUUACCGGAGGAGAUGUGAGACGGAUUUGUGAUAUCUAAAAUUCUAUUUUUUUAAAAUUGUUUAUGUGAUGGAUAUAUGGAGAUUCAAAGUUUUGCAGUAUAUUCCUAUUCUUUAAUGAGAUAUAUGAAAGCAAAAGUGUUUAAGAUGUGUUUUAUUCUAGAACAAAAUUAUAUUUGUUGUGGAGAUUAAGAUAAAGCAUUCAUAUCCUGUGGCAUUUUUGAAGGUCAAGAAAUCCGCGUGCUCAUUGUGCAUCAUAGAUAUUGAACGUGAUUCUAAAUGCAUCACCGAGCAGCUUUUAACCUUUUCGACCAUCUGUCUUCACUUGACUCAUUUACUUGAAUAGUCAUCAACAGCAACCAUUUCUUACCUGAACUUUUUGUUUUGGUUGAUGGGCUAUACUUUGGACCAUUUCAUUAUUUCCUAUGUGUUUAGCAAUACCGAUGUUUUCUAUUACUGGAAGUCAAAUUCGAGUGAUGGAUAUGGAUUUCGAGGGCUGAUAUUGAUAUUGGCCCCGGCGGCAAAUAAGAAACGUUCACCUCCGGAUAGUAUUGACCAUGCAAAA